UUUUAAAAUAGACUUUGAUUCUUGGUUAAUGCAUCCCGAAACUUUUCUAAUUAAUUUUUCUUAUACUCUUGCAGCAUCGAUGAUUUUGCUGGAUAACACCUAAUGAAUUUAUUAGAUUGCUUUUGGGGUUUUGAAGAUUGAAUUUGACAAGUCAAGAUGGAAUUUUAGAAGAUGCACAAGCUCAUUAUUUUGCUAGGAAUGUUAUGCACUCUCUAUCGUAGUCUAGCUCAAGUGUUAGCAAUGUUUUUUUGUUAAGGUGUCGAGCAAAUAUUGAAACUAACAUCAUGGGAUGUUAACAAUUUUACUGUAAUUAAUAACUCUAUCUUCCUCUUUAUAUAUAUAACGCUUUUGUAUCUAGAUGUUUUAGUAGGAAUCCGAUAUUUAUUGAUAAAAUAAUUUUUUUGUGA